rnacentral:rRNA from 1 species
CCUACGGGAGGCAGCAGUAGGGAAUAUUCCACAAUGAGCGAAAGCCUGAUGGAGCGACGCAGCGUGCACGAUGAAGGUCUUCGGAUUGUAAAGCUCUGUUUGUAGGGAAGAACAUUUGCAUUAGGAAAUGAUUUUAGAUUGACGGUACCUUGUUAGAAAGCGAUGGCUAACUAUGUGCCAGCAGCCGCGGUAAUACGUAGGUGGCAAGCGUUGUCCGGAUUUAUUGGGCGUAAAGCGAGUGUAGGCUGUUUGUUAAGUCUGGAGUGAAAUCCCCGGGCUCAACCCGCGCAUGGCAUGGGAAACUGGCGAACUUGAGUGAGAAAGAGGAGGGCGGAAUUCGAGGUGUAGCGGUGAAAUGCGUAGAUAUAUGGAAGAACACCAAUGGCGAAGGCAGCUUGCUGGGGCGGAACUGACGCUGAGGGUCGAAAGCGUGGGUAGCGAACAGGAUUAGAUACCCGAGUAGUC